rnacentral:rRNA from 1 species
CAGCAGCCGCGGGAAUACAGAGGGUGCGAGCGUUAAUCGGAUUUACUGGGCGUAAAGCGUGCGUAGGCGGCUUCUUAAGUCGGAUGUGAAAUCCCUGAGCUUAACUUAGGAAUUGCAUUCGAUACUGGGAAGCUAGAGUAUGGGAGAGGAUGGUAGAAUUCCAGGUGUAGCGGUGAAAUGCGUAGAGAUCUGGAGGAAUACCGAUGGCGAAGGCAGCCAUCUGGCCUAAUACUGACGCUGAGGUACGAAAGCAUGGGGAGCAAACAGGAUUAGAGACCCCUGUAGUCCCUGUCUCUUAUUU